rnacentral:lncRNA from 1 species
AUGCAGCAUAUCGCCAUUGUUCCCUCUUAUUGUCUCAGUUCAUUUUUAAGUUUUGUUCCUAAUUUUACGGUUUUUAUUUUUUGCAGAUUGAAGCUGAAUGUGUAAGAAUCAAAGAUUACAAACAAAACCCUAGACGGAUUAAUGAGUUGAUGAAGAUAAUCCAGUUGCAGUAAAGUAAAUCAAUGCAUGCUUAUGACUAUUUGUCUAUCAAUUAUCUUAAUUUUGAAAUGUAGGGUUAAAUUUUUCUAAGGUUUGAUUUUUAUAUCUUACAAUGAAAUGCAGUGUCACUAGAUUUUAUACGAUUGAUAUGAUAUUAACAUGUAUGCAUGUGUUACUGCUAAAUUUGUCAAUAAAAUGUUUUGUGAUAUAAUCAUAUAAAACAUAAUUGAAGUAUUGCUCCUAACUUUUUUGUUGUCUCUUCUUAAUUGCUGAAUUUUAUAUGUCUAUUUACCUUCUUUGUUGAAUGUCUUUUUCUUAUGAUUAAGGAAACAACUUAGAUGUAAUUCAAUUUCAGGAGAAACUGCACUACAAAAUAUAUUGACUUACUUUCAAGUUUUUCUUCUUCAGUUUUUUCUUUUCUAAAAUUCCUAAAACAAAAUUCAGCUGAAUAAACUCUGCGAGAUAUUAAGCAACGGAACCAAUACAACACGGAUAAUUAAUAAGCUCUAAGAAAAACUUAAUAAUAAUGGCUGUAGUUUGCUUUACCACUCCUCUCCAUGCUACUUAGUCUUCCAAUUCAUUGCUAUUGGGUUUCUAUCCCAGUAAGAACAAUUUUUUGAGUGUUUCGUGUCAAAUUCCCAUUUGCAUAGGUCAUAGUAUAGUAUCAACAUCUUUUUUCACCCUUUUUCUUGAAUUUUACUCCUUGAGGUGCUACAACCUCCAUUGAUAGAUGGAGUUGGGACUUCCCACAUUUGCUGCUCUCUUGUUGAACAUCUUUCUUCUCAUUCCAUCCUUAAACUUAACUGAGACUAGGACAGUUAAGGCUGAAGCCUCUAUUAAUCUGCGUGAUUUCAUGGCAGCUAACAUCUCUGUUAGCGAAACUGGAUAUCUUCUGACCUUGUAUGACAAUGCUGCAAAGGGGGUUGACAUAAUCAUCUGGCCUAAUAUUGUAUAUCAGUCUAGGGUCCAAUGCACUGUGGAAUCACAGUUCCAGCUCCCAUGGCUAAAGCUUGAUGUGUGGUCAGUCACAUCUUCUUUUGUCAUGAUUUCAGAUUUGACAGCUGUAAGGCUCCAUCUUGCGUGAGCUGAACAGAAAAGAGUUUAAAUUCCCCUGACAUGAGGUCAUGUCAUUGAGGUACCUUACAUGACAGAGAAGUUCACACUUUUAGUGUGUCCUCUGGAAGGCCUAUCGGACCAAGGUUCUGAGACCAUACAGCAAUGAGGUUGAAUCCUGGCGCUAUAAGACCUAGUUUGAGGAUUGAAGGGUUUGUAAAACUUGGCCCUCUGACUGAGAAUCUUGUGUACACUUUGCUAUUACAGUUCCUAAAAAUUCAAUCCGAGCAAGUGGCCUUGUUGUGGAGUUUAUGUAAGAUUUCAAGUCGCCUAAUUCAUCAAAUCCUACCAAUAUUGCAGGCACAUGUACAUCAACCAAAUUUUCUUCCAAGUUUAGCUCUGUGUUUGCCAAGAUCAUAGAAGCACCACCUGUUUCUUCACAACUUGACCCUUUUCUGAUCUUCUGUUAACACCACGAUUGCAUAUUUUUCCUUGAAUUUUGUCCUUUGGACGAGACACUUUGAGGCAAAAGUGCUUCUUCCAAGGUUAGUUAUUGGGAUUCUGCAUAUUUGCUCUGGAUGUAUUAUGCUUAUAAGUUAUAAGGCAUGUGUGUUUUUUAACCGGUUUUUCCCAUAUUUGAGUUUGAUUGGAUUUUAUAUUUGAGUAGGAAGAAUGAGGCAUGCCCAUUAUCUUCUCUGGUAUUUGAUCGCAGAAACCUGGUAUAAGUAAUGAGUUUUUUACUGUGUUCAUUUUUGUUAUUUUUUGUGCCUUCAAAUUUAUGAAAUGUGACUUCGUUUGGAAAUGUCUUAUUUAAUAUUAUUUAAGUGUUUGUUAUUAUACAUUGUUUGUUGAUUUUGCUGGCUUUGCCUAUCCACUUUGAGCUGGAUAUUUAUUUAUUUUUUGAAUGGUUGAGCUGGAUAUUUAUUGUAACUGUCAUUUUGAGACUAGCACUACUGUUUUGCUUCAAUAACUUAGUGUUGGCACUUGGCAUACAUAUCAGGAAACUUGACGACUCUGAAUUUUGAAAUGGAUUUUAUUAGGCAUACAUAUUUUGAAGUAAUAUUUGUCUAUGUUCAACAUUAUUUGUGUACUUCAUUUCCUUAACAUAUCUCUAUGGGUUGUCCAGGUGAAGGAAUAUGAUUGGAAUUAUUCAGCAUCGCCAUUGUUCCCUCUUAAUGUCUGAAUUAAUUUGAAGUUUUGUUGCUGAUUUUAGGGUUUUUAUUUUUGCAGAUUGAAGCUGAAUGUGUAAGUAUCAAACAUUACAAAUAAAACCCUAGACGGAUUAACGAGUAGAUGAAGCUAAUCUAGUUGCAGUAAAGUAAACUAAUGCAUACUUAAGGCUAUUUGUCUGUUGGUUAAUUAUCUUAUUUUUGCAAUAUAGGGUUAAUUUUUUAAACUGUUUGAUUUAAAUAGCUAACAUAAUACUCUGAUUUUGAAUCAUAUAUUAUUAUGUACACAAUUUAUUCAAUGGAAUUAUUCAACUAGUUGAUUUGUAUGUUCUGUUCAUUUUUAUUUAUUUUUUUGUGAUAUGAUCAAAUAAAACAUGACUGUGAAGUUCAAUUUAACCCCUUUUGUUUUUUUUGUCUAUUUACCUUGUCUUUUUUCCUUAUGGUAAAGAAAACAACUGAGAUGUUCUUGUAUAUGAUUUUGGAGAUAAUUGAUUGAUGCAGUUCAAUUUCAUGAGAAACUGCACUGCAAAAAUUUGUGUGUGAAAAUUCUGAUUCAAGAAACAAGUAAAGACCAAUUAUUUAACCUUUAUAAAUGGACUUACUUUUAAUAUUUCCUUCUUAAGUUUUUCCAUUAGAGAUGCUCUAAGACUCCUGAUAGUCUAAUAGAAAAUUCAGCAUAAACUUUAGACAAACUAAUAAUGACAGUAGCCUAUUGUACUAGUAUGUUUCUCCAUGCUACUUAGGCUUCCAAUUCACUGCUAUUGUUGGGCUUCUAUCUAUGUAAGAACCAUUUUGUUAGUUUAUACAUGUCAAAUGCCCUUCUGCAUUGGUCAUGGUAUCCACACACAUCUUGUAAUAGUGUAACUCAUGCUUUGAUUUCUUUGUUUAAAUAGCAGCUUCUUGUGUUUCAUUUUGACUUUUACUCCACGAGGUGCCGCAAACAACGUCCACUGAGUAGAUGGAGUUAGGACCUCCCAAAUUUGCUACCCUCCUGCUGAACAUCUUUCGCCUCAUUACAUCCACCGAGAUUGAGGGAUAGUUAAGGCUGAACAAUCCUCUAUUCAUCUGCAUGAUUUCAUGACAUCUAACAUUGCUUUGCGUGAUACUGAAUAUUUUUGAUCUUGUAGAAUCAAUGUCGCAAAGGUGGUUGACAUAUUCAUCUGGCCUAAUAUCAUAUAUCAGUCAUGGAAUCAAUGCUGCUAUUUGUGGAUUAACAUUUCCAUCUCCCUUGACAAAAGCUCCAGCUGAUUUGUCUUCGUCAAGUACUGGUCUUCCUGUGUAUCAGUUACAUCUUCCAUCUUGGUUGAGCUGAACGGAUACGAGCUGCAAUUGCACUAACAUGAGGCGUGGAUGACAUGUCAUUGAGGUACCUGACAUGACAGAGACGUUCAUUCUUCUGAUGUUCUCUGGAAGCCCUAUCGGACAAAGGUUCUGAGGCCAUGCAGCAAAUAAUCUCGACUCUUGGAGAUAUAACAUCUCAGUUUAAGGAUUGAAGGGUUUGUAAAACUUGGCCUUCUGGCUGAGAAUCGUGUAAAUGCUGGUGCUCUAGAUCUAGACUUUCAUAUUACAGCUCCUCCAAAUUCAAUAUCAGCAAGUAGCCUUGUUGUGGAUUUUAUGUAAGAUUUCAAGGUGAGUGAUUCAUCAAGUCAUACCAAUGUUGCAGGCAAGACAAUAACAUCAACCGAAUCUUCUUCCAAGUUUAGUUGUGUUUGGCAAGAUCAUAGCAGCACAACCUGUGAUAGAACACCUAGGCAUAUCUAGAAGGAAGUGGGACCCUGGGGAGAGAGUGAGAGUUAGUUAGAGGUGUUGGGGUAUUUUUCCUUGCGAUUCUGUUAGAGAAUGUUAUUAAAAACAGGGUAGUGGUGAGUAUGGGAAUCAUUCAGAGAUAUUGUUAGAAUUGAUUAGGAGAGUUUUCUCUCUGGUUAGGAAUCUUUGACUCUGGUUAUCAUUUUCCUUCAUUGUAGAGCCUUUGAGCUCAUCUUUAUUACUUUAAUAAUACAAUUUCCUUAUUCAUAAUUUGCGAGUUCUAUCAACCUGCUUUCUUCACAACUUGAGUACAUAACCUUUUUAUGAUCUUCCAUUGACACCCCAAUCGCAUACAUACCACCUGCUUGUAAUUUUCAUAUUUUCUUGGUAGUUCAUGUGCUAAAUUUUGAUGUUCUAAUAAAAUUGUUUAACUUAUCAGAAAAAAGUUAUUUGCUAUUGCUUGAUAGUCUGUUCAAUAGGUAAAUGAAUUCUCCAUUGAGAACUUGUCCAUUACCCAAGUGACCUAUAGCUCAGAAUUUCAUGUCAAGUAUGCUCACCAAUGGUGGCUAUCUAAGGAGCUUCACUGGCAACCAACAUGAUAUUGCCAUUGAGCCAUUGUUUCUGGACAGCAAUACUAUCAUCAUAUAGUGGCAGCGGGUACUGUCAGAUGCCACCAGUAUUGCAUCAGUAGAGAUGCUUCAUCCCCGCUGCUAGAAACAGAAGAUUACAACCUUGACUAAGAAAUUGGGUGAAUGUUCUAAACAUAAGAAACUCACUGUUAUGUGGGAAUGAGAAUUAUGAAUAUGAUCAAACCUAGGCCAUUAGUUGAUCAAGUGCAUCAUUGCAUACAAUUUCUACCGCUGACCAUCCAAGUAGACAGGGCGUGCCGAAUUUGAUAUGUGUGGGGUGCAUGUUCAAACAUGUGAUUUUCGACACUUAAUGUGUGUGAUUCUCGUCACUAGAUUAUUUGAAAAAAAUAAUCACAUUAUAAUGUUAGUUUUUGAAAUAUCUGCAUAUUCAUAAGAAAAAACUUCAUAAAAUUAAUUGCAAUUGGAACAUAUAGAUGGACUUUUCGCUUACAAGAGUUUUUACUUGUGUAGUUGUGUUCUAGUUACCAUUGUCUCAAAAAGUUAAAUGUGAAAUGAUAAUAGUAUGUAUGAAACAACUUAAAUCCAUAACAUAAACUGGAGAGAUACUGUUUAAUGAAAAUUGUGAAACAGUGGGAGUAUCUUUGGCACUGAUGGUAUGUUUGGAACGGUGAAGAUCUAGUGAUUUUUUUUGUAUCAGUUUAACUCUACAGUUUAAUCACAAUCAUAGCAGUGGAAGGUAAGAGCCAAGAGAUGUACUCCCACAUCGCUUACAUAGUCCCACAUCGCUUACAUGCAUGAUGUUUGCAGUGUUUAUAUAACACUUCAACACAACAUGAUUUGUCCCUUCGGGGACAUCCGAUAAAAUUGGAACGAUACAGAGAAGAUUAGCAUGGCCCCUGCGCAAGGAUGACACGCACAAAUCGAGAAAUGGUCCAAAUUUUUUUGUCACUUUUUUUUUUUGAAAUUUCUCGAUUUUCUCUCUUCUUCAAUUGCGUUUUCAUUUUUUGAAGAAUCCUAUGCAGCAUAUCGCCAUUGUUCCCUCUUAUUGUCUCAGUUCAUUUUUAAGUUUUGUUCCUAAUUUUACGGUUUUUAUUUUUUGCAGAUUGAAGCUGAAUUGGUAAAAAUCAAAGAUUGCAGACAAAAUCCUAGAUGGAUUAACGAGUAAGAAAACCCUAGAUGAAGAUAAUCUAGUUGCAGUAAAGUAAAUCAAUGCAUGCUUAUGACUAUUUGUCUAUCAAUUAUCUUAAAAUGUAGGGUUAAUUUUUUCUAAAGUAAAGUGUCGGUUCUUCAAUCCUAGGAAAUUUAAGUCAAUUAUCUUAAUUUUGAAAUGUAGGGUUAAUUUUUUCUAAGGUUUGAUAUGAUAUUAACAUGUAUGCAUGUGUUACUGCUAAAU